rnacentral:rRNA from 1 species
AUUGAACGCUGGCGGCAUGCCUUACACAUGCAAGUCGAACGGUAACAGGUCUUCGGGUGCUGACGAGUGGCGAACGGGUGAGUAAUACAUCGGAACGUGCCUAGUAGUGGGGGAUAACUACUCGAAAGAGUGGCUAAUACCGCAUGAGAUCUACGGAUGAGAGCAGGGGAUCGCAAGACCUGGUGCUAAUAGAGCGGCCGAUGGCAGAUUAGGGAGUUGGUGGGAUAAAGGCUUACCAAGCCGACGAUCUGUAGCGGGUCUGAGAGGACGAUCAGGCACACUGGGACUGAGACGCGGCCCAGACUCCUACGGGAGGCAGCAGUGGGGAAUUUUGGACAAUGGGCGCAAGCCUGAUCCAGCAAUGCCGCGUGCAGGAUGAAGGCCUUCGGGUUGUAAACUGCUUUUGUACGGAACGAAAAGCCCCGGGUUAAUACCCUGGGGUCAUGACGGUACCGUAAGAAUAAGCACCGGCUAACUACGUGCCAGCAGCCGCCGUAA